UACGUAGGGGCGCAAGCGUUAUCCGGAAUUAUUGGGCGUAAAGAGCUCGUAGGCGGUUUGUCGCGUCUGCUGUGAAAGACCGGGGCUCAACUCCGGUUCUGCAGUGGGUACGGGCAGACUAGAGUGCAGUAGGGGAGACUGGAAUUCCUGGUGUAGCGGUGAAAUGCGCAGAUAUCAGGAGGAACACCGAUGGCGAAGGCAGGUCUCUGGGCUGUAACUGACGCUGAGGAGCGAAAGCAUGGGGAGCGAACAGG
rnacentral:rRNA from 1 species